GGAAAAGGCAGCAAAGUCUUCUGGACAGUGGGAAACAACACAGCCAUAACGUUGGUGACCGACAGUAGGCCAAAGAAUGUGUUGGCUCGUGGAUGCAUCUUCUUUAACCUGAAUUAAAAACCCUUCCAGUGGACAAAUCUGGAGAAUGGUGGAAGAUUGGCAGUGGACUCAGCUCAAUUGCACAUGCAUCGUCAUGGGGUAAUUAUGUCUAUUAUUUUCCAUGCCUUGGCUCAAUAGAAUGGGAUCAGUUAACCAUGUGAUUUGUUCCCCUACUCUCCAGUAUGUGUUCAAUAGAUGUUAAAUUAUAAAAAGCAAUGAUAUUGUCUGUCUUAUAUUUCUUGGUGUCCAGAUCUUUUUCAGGAUUCAUUACAGAACAUACUUGUUGAGUGAUUGGAAGAAAUUAGAUAUUCUACAGGGCGCUUUUCAAAUUUCUUUACAAGUAAAAAAAUGUCUAUAAAUAUUUGAAAUAGGAGCUUGGAUAACUUCUCAUUUUCUCAUAUUCUUCUUGAAAAUAUAUUAGGCCAACGUGUUAUAAUGUUCUUUGUCUAUUUUAUUUUAAAAUAACUGAAAACCAAGAAAGCCAUGCAUGGCUUGUUCCAAUAAUAGUCUUCCCCAGUGUGGUCUGAACUCUGUUUUAAGUAAGACACUUAAUGUCUAACCCUAUUAUAAUUUGCAAACAUUGGUAGCCUAAGGCAGACAGAAUCUUAAUUUGAAUUUUAAGUGGAAAGUUAAUUGUUUUGUAAAUUAAUCAGUAACUUGGCUUAGCUCUAUUUGCCCUGUUAAUUACUUUUCGCUGUCCUGUUAACUCCAAUGUUACAAUGAAAUGUCAUUUCUUGGGUUCCCAUAUUCAUGGCUCACCAUAGGGAUAGAGGGAUGUGUGUGCAGGUGUGUAUGGGUGUGUGCUUUCCAAGAAUAGCCCUUUGUCUAAUAAAGGUUUGCUUUAUGAUUUUUCAUACUGAACAACAACCUUUGGUCUGGUAAAGGCAACAACUUACUUCUGGUGAUCCUACUGAAGGAACCAUGAAAGCUGACAGCAUGCAGAA